rnacentral:lncRNA from 1 species
AAAAAUUUUUUACAUCGAAAAUUAAAUUCCGAAUCAAAUCUGCUGUAAACGAAAAUAAUUAGAAGAUAACUCACUAAAAAUUAAAUCAAGAACGAGAAGAAGCAGAACAUUUUCUUACGCAGAACUUAAAAAGGACAGAUGUAAGUAAAGUUAAAUUACACUUUCAUAGAAAAAUAACGAAAUCGAUGGUGUCAGUAAUGAUGUCACUGAUGGGAGAGAAAAGAAGCACCCAACUUUUGUUGUCGUCGCUUCUCUGGUGUGUAUAUAUACACAACUCUUUCCUUUUCUCUUCUUCUUCCUUAUUUUUUUCUCUCUCUCUUAUGGCCUCCUGUACAAACAUUCUUUCUUGUUUUCGAUUUCUUCACCUCUCAGCUUGUGUUUAUUCCAACUAUACUCCUCUCCUUUUAUAGGUGAGAGUAGCAAUUUAGAUCAAUUUCUCAGCUUAAAAAUCUUUCAAAAAUCAAACGGUCUCACUUUAUCUUUUCGUUAAAAUCCUGUAUGUUUAUCUUCAUCCUCACGUUAAAAAUCUUUCAG